rnacentral:rRNA from 1 species
AUUUAGCAAGUAUUACUCAAGCAAAGAGGACUAUAGUUUGAGCCCCCGAAACUAAGCGAGCUACUCCAAGAUUGCCUAAACAGAAGGGCUAACCCGUCUCUGUAGCAAAAGAGUGGGGAAAACUUUGAGUAGAGGUGACAAACCUACCGAGCCUAGUGAUAGCUGGUUGCCCGAGAAUUGAAUUUAAGUUCAGCCUUUUCCAUUCUUUCAUGUCUAACUUAAGCCCUAGCAGCUAAACCCCAGAAGAAAGACAACCUAAGGAGAUAGUCAAAAGGGGGACAGCCCUCUUGACCGAAGAAACAACUUUUACAGAAGGUUAAAGAUUAUUACCAAAAAGACAGUGUGCCCAGGUGGGCUUAAAAGCAGCCACCCUAAAAGACAGCGUUAAAGCUCACGCACACAUUCCUCAUGCAAUUUCAAUUAUAAACUCUUACACCUCUCUUCAUAUCCGGCCACUCCAUGCAAGCAUGGAAGAGAUUAUGCUAAUAUGAGUAAUAAGAGAGCCAAAGACUCUCUCGAAUACAUCCCUGUACAUCAGAACAAACACACACUGAAAAUUAACGCCCCCAGCCCAAGAGGGAAUUGAAAGACUUACGAUAACAACUGGAAAGAUCCUCAACGUAAAAGCGUUAACCCAACACAGGAAUGGUACACGAAAGACAAAAAGGGAGAAAAGGAACUCGGCAAACACCGGCCUCGCCUGUUUACCAAAAACAUCGCCUCUUGUAACACACCCCUCAAUAAGAGGUCCCGCCUGCCCUGUGACCAAAGUUUAACGGCCGCGGUAUUCUGACCGUGCGAAGGUAGCGCAAUCACUUGUCUUUUAAAUGAAGACCUGUAUGAAUGGCAUUACGAGGGCCGUACUGUCUCCUCUCCCCAGUCAAUGAAAUUGAUCUGCCCGUGCAGAAGCGGACAUAUUUUCAUAAGACGAGAAGACCCUAUGGAGCUUUAGAUAGCAGGAUAGCCCACACACAAAAUCCCCUGCCAAACCCAGGGAUGAAAUCGGACGGACCCUAUCCUCAUGUCUUCGGUUGGGGCGACCACGGGGAAACAAAAAACCCCCGCGAAGAAUGGGAGUAAUCCCUCAUACUAGAGCCACAGCUCUCGUAGCCAGAACAUCUGACUUUACAGACCCGGCCAACUGAACGCCGAUCAACGAACCAAGUUACCCUAGGGAUAACAGCGCAAUCCCCUUUCAGAGUCCAUAUCGACAAGGGGGUUUACGACCUCGAUGUUGGACCAGGACAUCCUAUUGGUGCAGCCGCUAUUAAGGGUUC